rnacentral:rRNA from 1 species
AGGACGAACGCUGGCGGCGUGCUUAACACAUGCAAGUCGAGCGGUAAGGCCCUUUCGGGGGUACACGAGCGGCGAACGGGUGAGUAACACGUGAGUAAUCUGCCCUCCACUUGGGGAUAAGCUUCGGAAACGGGUCUAAUACCUGAUACGACAACUACCUGCAGUGGGUUGGUUGUGGUAAAGUUCUUUCGGUGGGGGAUGUG